rnacentral:rRNA from 1 species
CAGUAGCCGCGGUAAUACGUAGGUGGCAAGCGUUGUCCGGAAUUAUUGGGCGUAAAGGGCUCGCAGGCGGUUUCUUAAGUCUGAUGUGAAAGCCCCCGGCUCAACCGGGGAGGGUCAUUGGAAACUGGGAAACUUGAGGGCAGAAGAGGAGAGUGGAAUUCCACGUGUAGCGGUGAAAUGCGUAGAGAUGUGGAGGAACACCAGUGGCGAAGGCGACUCUCUGGUCUGUAACUGACGCUGAGGAGCGAAAGCGUGGGGAGCGAACAGGAUUAGAGACCCCCGUAGUCCCUGUCUCUUAUAC